GCAUAUCAAUAAGCGGAGGAAAAGAAACUAACAAGGAUUCCCCUAGUAACUGCGAGUGAAGCGGGAAAAGCUCAAAUUUAAAAUCUGGCGGUCUUUGGCCGUCCGAGUUGUAGUCUGGAGAAGUGCUUUCCGCGCUGGACCGUGUAUAAGUCUCUUGGAACAGAGCGUCAUAGAGGGUGAGAAUCCCGUCUUUGACACGGACUACCAGUGCUUUGUGAUGCGCUCUCAAAGAGUCGAGUUGUUUGGGAAUGCAGCUCAAAAUGGGUGGUGAAUUCCAUCUAAAGCUAAAUAUUGGCGAGAGACCGAUAGCGAACAAGUACCGUGAGGGAAAGAUGAAAAGCACUUUGGAAAGAGAGUUAAACAGUACGUGAAAUUGCUGAAAGGGAAACGCUUGAAGUCAGUCGCGUUGUCUGGGACUCAGCCUUGCUUUUGCUUGGUGCACUUUCCGGAUGACGGGCCAGCAUCGAUUUUGACCGUCGGAAAAGGGCUAGGGUAAUGUGGCACCUCCGGGUGUGUUAUAGACUUUAGUCGCAUACGGCGGUCGGGAUCGAGGAACGCAGCGCGCCGUAAGGCAGGGGUUCGCCCACUUUCGCGCUUAGGAUGCUGGCGUAAUGGCUUUAAACGACCCGUCUUGAAACACGGACCAAG
rnacentral:rRNA from 11 species